CUACGGGGGGCAGCAGUGGGGAAUAUUGGACAAUGGGGGAAACCCUGAUCCAGCAAUGCCGCGUGUGUGAAGAAGGCCUGCGGGUUGUAAAGCACUUUCGGUUGGGAGGACUGCUUCUAGCACUAAUAUUGUUGGAAGUUGACGUUACCUUCAGAAGAAGCACCGGCUAACUCCGUGCCAGCAGCCGCGGUAAUACGGAGGGUGCAAGCGUUAAUCGGAAUUACUGGGCGUAAAGCGCGCGUAGGCGGCUAGAUCAGUCGGGUGUGAAAGCCCCGGGCUUAACCUGGGAACUGCAUCCGAUACUGUCUAGCUUGAGUACAGGAGAGGAGAGUGGAAUUCCACAUGUAGCGGUGAUAUGCGUAGAUAUGUGGAGGAACACCAAUGGCGAAGGCAGCUCUCUGGCCUGAUACUGACGCUGAGACGCGAAAGCGUGGGGAGCAAACAGGAUUAGAUACCCUUGUAGUC
rnacentral:rRNA from 1 species